UAGAGUCAAGGCAAAUUUUCCUCUUUUAUAUCCCAGCUGAAAUGACUGAUUUACCCCGUUGAAAAACUAAAAUUUUAGAAUACUACCCAAUAAUUUUGGUCAUAGAUUCAUCCACCAUAAUUCUACUUUGGAUCCAGCUUCUUCAACCUCUCUAUGUUUCUCUCAUUAACUGUACGUAUUUACUGUAUAUUUUCACUAUUUUUCAAUCAAUUGCUGCAGUAUACAUCAAAUUCAUUUAUGUGCAUGUUUCCAAAUUGAUUCUUAAUUUUGAAUUUUGGAAUUAUGUUAAUAUUGAUUAGUGUUCACUGUGCCCUUUGAUAUAUAGAUAAAUAACUUCCAAAUUACCGAUAAAAAUGGGUUCUUUUUUUGUGCGCUUGUUUAUUGAACUAUAAAAAUCCAUUUUUUUGGUAAUGCGGAGAAUAAGAGGCAUCUAAGAGAUUGUUAGUUUAGAUCCAAAACAAAAAUGGGAUUUCUGGUAACAAGUCUAAUAUUUGUUGCAAUUGAGGUUAUUGCAUCUCUGUGCACCAGAAUUUGUUGCAAUAGAGGCCCUUCUACUAAUCUGUAUGUUCUUUUUUUGUUUCAUUUAUGUCUUCCCUAUUAGAUUUCUACUUUACUUUACUUUGAUUGAUUAUAAUAUGUGAUGCAGGUUGCACCUAACUUUGAUUAUCACAGCGACCGUCUGCUGUUGGAUGAUGUAAGUGUGCUAUAUACUUGAAAUUUCUGUUUCAGCUGCAAAACUAUGUAGGGAGUACAUAGCUAUUGUUCUAUGAAUUUUUUUAUAUUUGAAAAUGUUUGGAUGCCUUUAGGUAGAGUAUGGAGCUUUGAAUAUAACACCAAAAAAGUAGAGUAUUGAAUAAUUGCAUUUCGUCCUUAAAGACUUUGGUUAGAUAAAAAUAGACCGUUUAGUCGAGCCACAACACGGGCGCAAGGGUCUAUCUAAACCAUUGAUCUGUCAUUACUGCUAAAAGCUUGCCAAAUCUAGCAAAUCAUCUCAAAGAUGCUUUGGAAAUGUUAAAAGAAUAGAUAACUCUCGAACUGAUAUAUAAUUUUUCGUGGAUUAAUUUACCCAAAAAGUAAGACUGCAUGAAGCACGGAAAAAAGAGCAAUAAAACCUCUCUCUAGGUAAAAAAUGAUUUCUUUCAUUACUGAUAAAUGAACCUUGGCCCUAAUUCAACCCCAAAAUUUAGUUCAUGAGGUGAGGAUUGCCCAAGACUAUAUAAGGAGAUCAAGGACCUCAAAUCCCACUGAUGUGAAAUAACUCAACACCCCCCUUACGCCUAGGCCUACAAACUGUAGCGUGGACAACAUAAAUGGGCGCCCAACAUCCGUAACAAUAAUUGGGAUGAACCCGACUCUGAUACCAUGAUAAAUGGACCUUGGGCCUAAAUCAAUCUUAAAAGCUAGCCUAUGAGAUGAGGAUUGCCCAAGACCAUAUAAAGAGAUCAAGGACCUCAACUCCUAACUCCUACCGAUGUGGGACAACUCAACACUUAAAAAAAAAGUUAAAAUAAUGAUUUGUCUUUGCUAUGUGCUGUAAUAUUUUAAGGAGAAGAGUUGGCAGAUCAGGGGAAAUCAUCUGCUUAUUACCUAAUAGACCACAAGGUUUUGAAGUACAAGCCUGUACCAAAUUGAAUUAACAUUUAAAUUUAUGAAAUUACCCAUUUCUCAAAUUCUAUGGCAUUAGAGACUCCACAUAAUUUGGUAGAAUGACAAAGAAUAUUACUUGAAAUUUUUACUUUCAAAUAGGAAAAGACUGAAUCAGUUGAAACUGCAAAACAUCAGAAAAGUCCCUCUGCCCUUGUUUAUUUGAUGUAGCAUGACUUUUAUGGUCAAAUUUCGGAUAUGAUCAGGAUGUUUAACACCCUUAUCCUGUCGAGAUUGAGAUUGGUAGUAAUUGAUACCAAAUGAGAUAGACAGAAGGUAGCAUAAUAACAGAAAGGCGAGAUAUUCGUGACUGGUCAAAGAUCAUGACGGAAAUCUCAUAAUGGAUCAAAGCAAGGACGAUUAAUUAGCUAAUCAUGAGAUUUCUUUAUAUAAUUAGUAUUAUAUCAUAAUUAGAAUUCCUCUACUAUUUAAAGAGGAGUUCUAAUUAUUUGUAAGACACUUACAUUCUAAGAGAUCAAAGCAAUAUAACACCUUUUCUUUAGCUCAUAUUCUUGUUCAUCAACUUGCUUAUUUCUUGACUUUUUUGGUUCUAACAAAAUUCUAGGGCACUCUAACUCGAGGGUUGCAUGACGUUUCAACAUUGGUUUGUUUUAUUUUAUUGUUAAUUCUGUUACUAAUCUUUAUAUUUAUCAAUUGAUAUUAGGUGAAAUCACGUGUCUUUAAAACCAAUUUAUAAGUUUAAUUGUUAUUCAAUUUUGAGGGUAAACUGUUUGUCGCCCACCGUGGGGCUAAGGAUAAUAGUGAUUGUCUGGUAUUAACUCCCAUAGCACAUGCUGCUUUACACUUGUUCUUAUAAAUGUCUUUCAUUUCAAGAUCAACAGUCAAACUCUCAAGUAGCACCCACACAUACAGACAACGUCAUCGGGUUACACGACGAAACGACAACAUAGUUGGGGAAACAGGGCGCCUCAAGUCAACCCUGGUGGACCUCCGGCCGUGAACCCACAUGACGUCAGCUUCCAUAUUUCCAUUAAUGGGAAUUUGGGCGUCAACCCUAAAAAUUGCGUUUGUUGGGAUGCUCGAGCGGCCGAUUCGAACGUACAGAGUGGUGAAGAUGGCGAAAUUAGCUUUCGGAUGAUAUUCGAGAUGUUGCAGACUCAACAAGUUACGAUAGCACAACUCCAAAAUCAGAAUCGAGCAGCAAGUAGAAUUGAGCUCGAACCAUCACAAGAAGUUGUUCAUAGAGCUGAACCUAUAUCGGAGAGAUCGAGUACCAAUAAAUUGGGGACUGACCCCGCCAUUAUAAAAAUGCUCGAGGAUCUCACUAGAUGGAUUGAAUCAGGUGAACACAAAAUUGAGGCAAAUGACAAAAAGUUAGAAACGUAAAACUCCCGGGUUUACCAUAUACCAGGGGCACCACCGGUUCUAAAGGGUUUGGAUUCGAAGAAGUUCGUACAGAAGCCUUUUCCUCCGAGUGCGACUCCGAAGCCUAUCCCAAAAAAAUUCUGCAUGCCAUAGAUUCCCAAAUACAAUGGAACCAGCGACUCUAAUCAGCAUAUCACUUAUUAUACAUGUGUAAUAAAGGGGAAUGACUUAGAAUAUAAUGAGAUUGAAUCCGUUCUGUUAAAAAAAUUUGGGUAAACUUUUCGAAGCAUACUAUGACAUGGUACCAUAGUUUACCACCUAACUCUAUUGAUUCGUUUUCUAUGCUUGCAGAUUCCUCCGUAAAGGCACAUGCCGGAGCAAUAAAAGUUGCGACUAGGAAGUCGGACCUCUCCAAAGUGAGACAAAAGGAUAACAAAAUAUUAAGGGAAUUCAUAUCUCGGUGCCAUAUGGAACACAUGGACCUACCCCCUAUCAUAUAUGAUUAGGUUGUUCAAGCUUUUACUUAAGGUUUGAACAAACUAAGCUCGAUAACAUCACGAAAACUAAAGCAGAAUUUAAUUGAAUACCUAGUUGUGAUCUGGGAUGAUGUACAUAAUUGGUACCAAUUAAAGAUCAUGGCCGAGGACGAUCAAUUGGGAAUCUUUUCAGAUUCCGUUUAACCAAAUAGGCCUGUCGGCAGAAUUCAAAGGGACAUCGACUAAGAACCCCGAUCGAACAGAUAUCGGUAUCAACCAUACGGCACAGAUCGUAGAAACGACAGCCUAGGACAUAAUCCCAUACGAAAUGAUCAAAGGAAUGAUCGAGGAUAGAACUCUCGAGUGAUAAUGAGUAAAAUUGGCUUCGAUAAAUAUGUCGAGCCCACGGAAAUACCACGACUAUCAUAAUACAACUUCAGUAUUGACGCAUCAGGUAUUGUAUCAUCCAUUAGAUAAAUCAAGGAUACUUGAUGUCUCAGAUCUUUACAGAGGGAUCUAGCUCAAAGGAACCUUAAUCAAAUAUGCAAAUACUAUGGCACCCAUGGUCAUAAAACCAAUGACCGCAGACACCUAAGGGAGGAGGUGGCUCGUCUAUUCAACGAGGGUCACCUUGGAAACUUCUUGAGUGAUCGAGCUAAAAAUCACUUCAUAGACAUGGGUGCGAACAGGAAGAACCAUAAUACGUGAUUCAUAUGAUCGUUGGUGGGGUCGAUAUUUCUCAAUGACCGACAUUUAAACGCACCAAGGUGACAAUUACAAGGGAAAGUGAACUAGGGACUACUUACCAGAAGAAACCUUGUCUUUUAAUAAUGGUGAUGCAGAAGGGACCGAACAACUAAACAAUAAUGCAUUUGUAAUAUCUAUCUUUAUGAAUAAAAUUCAAAUUAAACGUGUGUUGAUUGAUCCAGGCAGCCCGCCAACAUUAUUCAACAAGGGUUGUAGAGCAGCUCGACCUCUAAGAUCAAAUCGUGUCUGUAGCUCAAGUACUUAAUGGCUUCAACUUGACAAGUGAAACCACCAAAUGGGAAAUCAUUUUCCCAGCAAAUAUGGUCGGGACAAUCCAAGAAACAAAUUUUCAUGUGAUCGAAAGUGACAUGAGGUACAAUGCACUGCUUGGGAGGCCUUGGAUUCAUAACAUGAGGUCAGUGCCCUCGACUCUUCAUCAAGUCCUAAAGUUCCUUGCAUCAGAAGGAAUUAAAAUGGUGUACGAUGAACAACCCGCCAGCAAAGAAAUGUUUGCAAUCGAUGAAGUAGUGCAUAUACCGGUGCGCACUUUCAUCAACAAAGGGAUCAGAGUCAAAGGGAAAGCAAGAAGUCAAAUAGCAACCACAGUCACUAGCCUCGGCCUGAUCGGGGAGGCAGGAAACUUUUGAGGAUGAUGAUUACAUGUGAUAGAAUAUAUGGGUCCACCAAACUAUAUAGAGACUAGGUCCUCUAUAGGUUUCCACUAGUAGUGCUACUGAAAUAGUAAGUAAAUGGAACAUGGAGUUUUUACGUGGAAAAAUCCCUGCUUAAGGGGAUAAAAAACCACGACAUAUACUGGUAGGAUUUCAACUUCACUGUGAGCAACUUUAGAUUACAACCUAAGCAAUCUAGGAAUUAAACUCGUAAUCUCGCACUAACUUGUAAUAUAUCUAUUACAAGCCACUUCGUAAUACGCAUAUUACAAAGACUUCAACUCAUGACUAACUCUAGCCACGACACAAAAACUAAAGGUUUAUGGUUUAUAAGGCGUCUCUAAGCAACGUUUCUAGAUAAGCAAAGUAGGAAUUACAAUGACGAAAAAUUACAAAAUUACAACUUAACUAAGACAUACAAGAUACUUGCUAUAGGAACUGUUCUGUAGUAGUGUUGUUCUUUGUUCUUGAUACAUUGAGAAUUGAAUGCUUGACAUAUGAACGGUUGGAGUGCUUGAAUGAAUUCUCAAGUGUUCAAGUGAUAUUUUUUUGUAAUGCUCUUUGUUAAUACAACUUAGAUGACAUCACUUGAAUGGUGUAAUCACUUGGUUGGUCAAAGGGGAGUAUAUGUAGUACUGUGCUGCAUUGUUUGCCUGUACAGUGUAUGCAGUCUCUUUCCAGCUGUAGACAGUUAACUUCGUAUUGCUGUCCAGGAAACACAAUGGGAUUAGGUUCCUGUGUUGAUUCUUUAUCUUUAGAAGUCAUAGUAACUCAUAUUAGCUUGAAUCUUUUGAUUGAGCUGUGUACCAAGUGUGCCAAGCCCCUUAUCUGGUUCUUUGACAGUACAUUUGUUAAAUCAUCAAAACAUAAAGCUAAGGUAUUAUAAACCCAUCAAUUUCCCAUUUUUUUAUGAUGACAAAGUUAUAAACUAAUAGCCUAAAUGCAGAGAAAAAUAAACCAGAUGAAGUAACAGGAACUACACAAGUUUUCCUUGAGUUUAUACUUCCCUCUUAAUCAGAUCGAUGUUUCAAUAUUAUUAUUCCCCCUUUCGAAACUAUUAAAAAUAUAUAAGCAAGCAAGCAGAAUAAAGAAAUCUAGCCUAGCUAACUCAUGCCACAUAUGUGCACGCCACAUGAUAGAAAAGAGAAGCUGAGAAACAUAAGAAUUCAUAGCAUAAGAGGAUAAUUUUCAUUAAUACUUAUAAGACAUAGGCCUUUGCCAUUAAAGAAAAGUGGACUGCUAAGAGUGGGAGAAGCGAAUGUGAAUUCCAUCCAUACCAAAAAGGAAAACAAAAACAACUACCAGUCAUCACGUCAAAAGAGUUCAAAUAGAAAUUGGUCACUGAAGGAUUUGCCUAGGGGACACUAGAGGGAGAAGGCUUAGGAGCGGCAACAAGAGUGUUGAGAACGAGAUCAAUUCGAGAAUUGGCCGAAAUUGCUCUGCGAGCAGUUUCUCCUUCAGGUUCUCAACCUGUUGCCUGAGAUCAACAUUUUCUUUUGUUAGAAGAGCAACCUCUUCAUUUGAGCCUGCUGCCCCUUGAGCCUGCUAAUUCUCUUGAAUAGCAUUCCUUGCCUUCAACUUCUUAAUCUCCUUAUUAGCUUAAUUCUGGGCAUUGAUAAGCUGGGAGAUUGUUGAAGUGCGUCCUACCCUUCUACAUUUUUCAAUACAUUCACGCUCCUCCAAAGUAGUUUGAGAGAAGGUAUUCUUCUUGGUCCCUAUCUUGGUCUGUACCAAAGGCACAUCGAAGAACUUGAAGACAUGCGUGAGAAGAAAUCCAUAAGUAAGACCAUGGUUUCCAUAUUUGAAAGUUGCCACCUUUUGCAUGUGCUCCAUCAUGAUAGCUGGAAAAUUAACAAAUCGGGGCCCAUACAGUGCUUCCAUCAAAUACUAAUCAGACUUGGAAGUGAUGGACCUCCUCUCAGCACGGGGUAGAAGAAUCUUGUUUACCAACUCAAACAAUAACUGAUAAAUGGGAAGCAAAGCUUUCUUGUAUACCCGUUCUGCUCGCUGGACUGCUCCCUACUUUAUAAUAGCAUUCGUAAAAUUUGAAUCGCAUACAUUCUUGACAGAGGACAUACCAUCAGCAAGGACCUUAAGUAUGUCUCCAAGUAGAGCAGCAUCUAAAACAAUAUCAAUUCCAUUGACCAGAGUACAAAUAUAGUCAUAUUCAACAGGAAAGAGGUCUUAAUAGAAACUUUGGACCUCAUCCUCAUAGACUUUGGGCACAUCCACUUUGAACAGGUGUCCCCACUGUUGAAAUUCAACCAUGUCUAGUAGUUGCCUCAUACAGCCAUUUCAGAUAUUUCAAGGUCAAAAGUGCGACCCCACAUAAUCUUUUGGUACCUCAAUUACCAGAUAGACUUUCACGUUUCACUUUCUUUGCAGAAUCGGGUUCCCUCACAGUUUCCAACUUUCGUUUACUAGACUUCACACUUGACUUACCCUUUCCACUUGAUUUCACUAAUAUAUCCUUAUCAUACAAUAACUGUACUCCCACUACGUGUUUCACUUGUCAUCACUUUUUACUGACUUUGUUCUUGGCGUAGCAACACCUUCCUCUAAAGCAUUUCAGUUGAUCUCUUCUUUUUCUGAGACCUUUUGGACCAAGAAACAUGGUUCCUCUGGUGUUUCCUCAUUCACUUCUACUACAGUAGUAUUCUUGUCACAUACAACAUCUCCAUUUUUCGCCAACCUCUUUUUCUUCUUCUUGCUACUCAUUUUACUCUUCUGUAGGGCAGGCUCAAGAGCCUCCUUUUCAUGCAACCUAUUAGUAGGCUUCUUAAGAGAGGGCUCAAGAGUGGCUAUUGGCCUCCUUCUGGAAAUGAACGCAUCUAGAGCCACAUUAUCCUGAUCUUCUUCAUCACUAGACCGCAUGGAAGGACCCAAAAUCUCCAAAGGCUCAAAAUCAAAGUGAGAAGAAGGAGCAGGGUAGAAACUGUCCUGGGAAGAGGACCCUUGACUUGUUUCCUCAUAGAGGGGUCAGGUCUUUUAAGAAGGGUUCAAUAUUUUCUUCUGGUGCAGGAUUUUCAAAGAGCACCACAGUUCCUUCUCGCACCAAUGACUGAGUCACUUCCCCCUAAGACUCAGACAUAGUAAGGGUGACUCCAUACACUAUUCCAUCAAUAGACAUAGUCAAUAUGCUUCCUAUGGCCUCUUUCUGUGAAGAUUCCAAGGGUGCAGCAAACUUUGAGACAGGAGUACUUGAAGAUUGAUCAAUACCAACCUCUAAGAGCUUUUCUACCUGUGUGGCAUCAUGCUGUUCUCCAUCUUUGUUUUGUGCUGUGAGAAUCUCAGACGACAGAGAUGAAACGUUAUCUAGUUUGGGGGUUUCUGAGUUCCCAACACUUAUAGAGAGAGAGAGAGAGAGAGAGAGAGAGAGAGAGAGAGAGAGAGAAAGGCCUAAGGGAGUGAUGGGAGAAAUAGAGUCUAUAAGAGAAUUGGUUUAGAAGUAUCAUCUACAGUGGUAGCAAAAAAGGGAAUGGUGAGACGUAUUUCAAGAGAGACGGAGGAAUCAAGGGUUUCCUCUGGGAUUUUCGCGACUAUUGUGGGGAUUAAAGGUUGAUCUUCAUCCAUGGUAGAGAAGAAGUUUGAAGGUUCUAGAGAGGGCUUGAAGAUAAAGAAGGAUAGAGAUGAGGUUGUUCAAGGUGAUGAGAGGGUUUUAAUGGAAGAAGAUACAAUUAUGAGGGAUAGAGAGAGAAAUUGGUUUUGAAACGAUGGUAGUUUUUUUGGGAGAUGCAAUGUUUCAGAGAAAGUGAAGGGAUUUGAAUGAAAAGACGUGACAUACAUGGUCUGAAAAUGUUGAUGACAUGGCAUUCAAUUUUUGUUUCCUUUUAAGAUAUGUAUGAAAAAGCACAAGACUACUAACAUGUGGUACACAAACCAGGCACUUGAACUGUCUUUCAAAAAUUCUCAAUCCUCCUGUACCGCUCAUGCAGUGCUUCUACAGCUUCUAUAGUCAUCAUUUGCGUCUACCUGCAAUGGUAUUGAAGUGAGUUAGACUUGGCCGGAAAACACUUUAGCUACUUUUACCUGAAUGCGACUUUCAAAGCCAUAUAGGAGGAAUCAUGUUCUCAAUUAGGCUUUAUUAGACCCAACUCCAACCUAUUUCUCUCAAAAUAUUCUCUGCUCAGUGCUUUGGUAAAGAUAUCUGCAAUUUGGUAUUUUGUACUACAGAACUUCAGCAGAUAAACCCCAUCUCUACAUUGUUUCUGAGAAAAUGAUGUCUCGCAUCAAUAUGCUUGGUUCUUUUAUGUUUAAUUGGGUUCUUGGACAUGUUGAGUGCACUUGUAUUUUCACAUAUAAGAGAUACAAAGUCAGUGUACACACCAAAAUCUUCCAAUUGUUGUUUGAUCUAUAGGAGCUGAGAACAACCGGAAGCUAUAACAAUAUAUCUUGCUUCAACUGUUGAAAGAGCAACUGAAUUCUGCUUCCUUGUGCCCCAUGAGAUGAGGCAUGAUCCUAUUAAGUGAUCCAUUCCAAAAGUAAUUUUUCUAAUCCACAAGAUAACCUGCAUAGUCAGCAUCAGCAUACCCAAUAAUAUUAAAAUUGUCACCUAAAAGAUAGUACAGGACCAGGUCCUUAGUUCCCUUAAGAUAUCUCAAAAUUCUCUUGGCAAUCUUCAGAUGAGAUUCCUUGGGAUUUGACUAAAACCUAGCACAUAUCCCCAUACUAAAUCCAAUAUCAGGUCUGCUGGCAGUAAGGUAGAGAAGAGACCCAAUAAUGCCUCUAUAAAUUGUUUGAUUUAAAGGAGAGCUAGAUUCAUCCAUGGCCAAGUCGAGUAGCAGUGGCGAUGGAAGUGUCAAUCACUUUUGAUGCUUCCAUAUCAAACGUCUUUUGAAGCUCCUUAAUAUAUUUCUACUGAAUGAUGAAUGUACCCUUUGUGGACUGCUUCACUUGAUGACCCAAGAAGAAAUUAAACUCACCCAUCAUGCUCAUCUUAAACUCAUUCCCAUGAGUUUUUGAAAUUCUUCACACAAUGAAUCAGUUGUUGCCCCAAAAAUGAUAUCACCAGCAUAUAGCUGAAUGAUGAGCAGGUUUCUCCCUUGUUUCUUCAUGAACAAAGUGUUGUCAAUUUUUCCUCUUGUAAAAUCAUUUUUUAAGAGAAACUUUGACAGUCUUUCAUAAUAUGCUCAAGGAGACUGCUUCAACCCAUAUAGUUCCUUGUCCAAUUUGAACACAUAUUCUGGGUGUUCAUGACAUUCAAAUCCUGGAGAUUGCUUUGCAUAAACUUCUUCUCUAAGGAAUCCAUUCAGAAAUGCACUUUUGACAUUCAUUCGGAACAGAAUGAAUUCCAUAUAUAAUGCAAAGGCAAUUAGGAUUCUAAUAGCUUCCAUGUGAGAAACUAGAGAAAAAGUCUCAUCAUAAUCAAUUCCUUCCUCCUGAUUGUAGCCUUGAACCACUAUCCUUUCCUUGUUUAUUGUCGUGUUUCCAUGUUCAUCAAGCUUAUUCCUGAAUAUCCAUAUGGUUCCUAUGAUGGUUCGAUCUGAGGGUCUAGGUACUAGGUGCCAUACGUUGUUCCUUUCAAACUGAUGUAACUCAUCUUGCACGGCUAUAAUCCAGUCUAUAUCUUAUAAGGCUUCCUUGAUGUUUUUGGGUUCUAUUUAGGAAAGAAAGGCUGAGAAAUCAAGUGAAUUUCUAGCUUUUGAUCUGGUUUGUACUCCUGAAUCCAAAGGGGUAAUUAUGUUGUCAAGAGGAUGAGAGCUUUUGUGUUUCCAGUUGGGCACUUCAGCCUCAUUUGUAGAGGAGCUGGGUAAGUCUGACUGGUUUCCUUGCAUUCUUCCCUCAGUUAUCUGUGGAGUAAUUUGAACUGCAACAACCAACUCUUUCUUCAGCUUCAGUGGCUGUAAUUGUGGUACCUAGUUCCUAUCAUGCUGAUGAGGGUUGCAUUGUCUUCGCUUGGCUCCUUCACUUGACUCGUCAUAUUUGUCUCUUCAUUUGCCAUAUCAAUGACUUCACCUGGAACUAGAAGAGCGCUCCAUCUUGAUCACCCUUAUUGCUUUUCUCACAAGAAAAGUAGGACUCGUCAAAGAUUACAUGUACAGUCUCCUCGCACUGAGUUCACUUAUUGAAGACCUUGUAAGCUUUACUUUGAGAGGAAUAUCCCAAGAAGAUUCCUUCAUCACUCUUGGCAUCAAAUUUUCCAAGCUGAUCCUUUCCAUAAAUGUUCUUAAGUGAGUCAAUUUGGGAUUCUUUCCAAUUAGCAACUCAUAGGGAGGUUUUGUUCAAGAGAGACCUCAUCAUGCACGUGUUCACCACAUAGCAGGCAAUGUUUACUGCUUCAGCACAGAAGUUCUUAGCAAUACCACCAUCGAUCAGCAUUCUCUUUGCCAUUUUUUCAAGGGUUCUGUUCUUUUUUUCCACAACUCCAUUUUGCUGUGGAGUUCUAGGGCCAGAGAAGUUAUGGGUAAUGCCAUUCUCUUCGUAGAAAUUAUCAAACUUGGCAUUGUCAAAUUCUGUUCCAUGAUCUGAUCUAAUGUAUGCUACUUUUGAUUCUAUUUUCACUUGAAUUUUCUUCAAAAAGGUUACAAAAACUUCAAAAGUCUCAUCUUUUGUCCUAAGAAACAAAGUCCAGGUGAAUCUAGAAUAGUCAUCCGCUAUCACAAAAAUCUAUCUUUUCCUCCCCUGCUUUGCACUCUCAUAGGACCACAUAAAUCCAUAUGAAGGAGAUAAAGUGGUUUUGAGGUGAUGACAUCCUUCUUUGGAUUAAAUGAGGAUUUCACAUGCUUCCCUCUAGCGCAGGCAUCACAAACUUUGAGCUCCACCAACUUUGACUUGGGCAGACUAUGCACCAGGUCCUUCUGAACUAGCUUAUUUAGUAGAGAAAAACUUGCAUGCCCCAGUCUUCUAUGCCACAGCUCAACGUCAUCACCAACUGCUUUCAAGCAACUCAUAUCACCACUUUGUAAUGGCUCAAAGUCUGCAACGUGUAUGUUAUUAUAUCUUUUGGCCACCAGUACCACUUCACCCGUUACUAGAUAAAUAACUGUGCAAAUCUUUGACAAGAACUCCGCCUUCUUUCCUUUAUCACAUAUUUGAGAAAUACUCAAGAGACUGUACUUGAGGUCAUUGAUGUAGUAAACAUUCUCAAUUGAGUGAAUGAGUGAUUUCUCGAUCUUUCCAGCUCUAAGAAUGUAUGUUUUUUCCAUUUCCAAAGGAUACACUACCUCCUAACAAGGCUUUUAGUGAAAGAAAGUCCAUGGUGUUCCCAGUCAUAGUGCUUUGAGCAUUCACUAUCCAUGAACCAUCGUUGAUUGCUUCCUUUUAAUAUUCCAUGCACACGGAAAUCAAGGGUUAGAUUUAGGAACCCAAGCAAGUUUGGGUCCCUUGUAAUGAGGAAGAGUCUGAAUAAGUGCUCUUUUAGUCCAUGAAAGUAACAUGCAUUUUUUUAUGAAUGGCACAUGGUCCCUUUUAAGUAGUUUCUCUUUUAGAAAAAGAUUUGUUUUCAGAAGAGACUGAACCCUGGCUUGGUAGUUUUCCUUGGAAUGCCCAUUGUUCCGACAGUGGGUACACAUCCGAUUAUCGGGUACAAUAACAUACUUGCUAUGAGGGUUAUAUGGGGUUCUCUCCCUUUGAAACCCUAUUCCUUGCCUGUUUCCACCAUUGUUGACAUACAUGGCAGUAAUAGCAUCUGAGGACCAUGUCCACUUAAGAGACUUUUCAAUGUCAUUUUUUACUAUUUCCAAGUCUGCUUGGCAUUGUCUAGUUUUCUCAAGUUCAGCACAUAAACUAGUUUUGUAGAAUUUAAUUCAUUUUGUAGCCUAAUAUGUGCUUUACUAGCAACUCCUUUUCCUUUACCAAAAUUUCCAGACCCACAUUCUGCUUUGAGUUCCUUUAUUGUUUCCUUCAGAUCAACCACACAUAAUACCAAGUCAUAUUUAGUUUGUUCAGCAUCUCCUAACUCUAUGGUUAAGGCAUCCUUAUCAUCUACAAGACUAUGACAAGCAACAAUUAACACAUUUUCUAAUGACGUGAGUUUCUUAGGAGAGUAGGAUUUCAGAUUUCUCUGCAUAUCCCUGAAGUUUACCGCAUUAUUGUCAUCAUCUUCAUCAUUUCCUGAUUGAGCCAUCAUCUUCAUCAUUUCUUGAAUCAUAUUCAUUUGCUUCACGUUCAAUUGCCAUUAUAGAACUAUCACAUGCAUCAGUUUCUUCUUCAGACUCACUAGAGGAAUCUCCCCAUGCUGCAACAUCUUGCUUUACAACAUAGUCAAAGAUGUCUUUCUUUUGAAUCAUUUGUCGGGAAUCAGGUUCCUCUUGGUUGCUUUAUCAGAGUUACACUUGAAUUGUUUUAGGAGAGAGAAAUCCUUGAUAAAAUGCCCUAGCUUUCCACAUUUAUGACAAAAAUAAUAAUUCUUUGCUCUACAGGAACUGCCUUUCUUUGGUAUCCCUCCAUUUCUUUUGACCAUUUUUUGAAACCUUCUGGUAAAGUAGGCCAUGUCACUGUCCUCUUCACUUGAGUCAUUGCUUUCAGCUUUGAGUACCAGGUUAUUUUUUUUAGUUGGUUCUCUUCUUUCAGUAUCUUUCUUCUUCUUCAUUUUGUAGGUAUUCAUAUUUCCAACUAGCUCAUAUAUGGUUAGCUCCUGCAAAUUCUUUGCUUCAGUAGUGGCAUUAACUUUACUCUCCUAUGAACUGGGCAAAACACUGAGAGUUUUCCUCACGAGUUGUUCCUGGGAAUGAUUUCACCAAGUGAGUGAAGCUCAUUUAUGAUGGAAGUGAAUCUUGUGUGCUUGUCUUGAAUGGAUUCAUCGACCUUCAUACUAAAGAGCUCAUACUCAGUGGUGAGCAUGUCAAUCUUAGAUUGCUUUACUUGAGUGGGUCCCUCGUGUGAUGUUUGCAAAGCUUCCUAUAUUUCCUUGGAAAAUUGACAGUAUGAGAUUAUAUUGUAUUCGUCAGAUCAUAUGCACACACCAAAAUUUUCUUGGCACGAAAGUUUUUCUCAACUGAUUUCCUAUCUGCACCGUUAUAUUCUUCCCUGGUUAUUGGAAUCAUCAGUGGAGGGUCUACAACCUUGUUCAUUGGGACAUAAGGACCAUCACAAAUAAAUUCCACAACUCAGAAUCUUUUGCCAUGAUAAAGUCAUGCAUUCUUGUCUUCCACUAUCCAUAGUAUUGCCCAUUGAACCUGGUGGUCUAUAAGUAGACUGACCUUCUUGGAAAUUUGGUAGAGCUGCCAUGAAGAUCCUUUAUAGGGUUAGCCUAAUAGAAAGAACGCGCUCUGAUACCAAUUACUAUAUAGAGACUAGGUCCUCUAUAGGUUUCCAUUGGUAGAGCUACUGAAAUAGUAAGUAAAUGGAACAAGGAGUUUUUACGUGGAAAAUCUCUGCUCAAAAGGAUAAAAAACCACGACCUACAUUUGUAGAAUUUCAACUUCACUAUGAUCAACUUUAAAUUACAACCUAUGCAAUCUAGGAAUUAAACUCUUAAUCCUUCACUAACUUGUUAUACACCUAUUACAAAAAAACACUUGAACACUUGAAAUCUUUGUAAUAUGUGUAUUGCAAAGGAAUGAUUUUUAUUAAUACAACUUAGAUGACAUCACACAAAUGAUGUAAUCACUUAGUUGGCCAAAAGGGAGUGUCUGUAACACUGUGCUGCACUGUUUGCGUGUACAAUACAGGCAGUCACUUUCCAGCUAUAGACAGUUGACUUCGUACUGCUGUCAGGAAAAUCCAAGGGGAUCAGGUCCCUGUGUUGAUUCUUUUAUCUUCUGAAGUCAUAGAAACUCACAUUAGCUCGAGUAUGUUGAUUGAGUUAUGUACCAAGUGUGUCAGAUCCCUUAUCUGGUUCUUUGACAGUAAGUUUGUUAUAUCAUAAAAACAUAAAGAUAUGGUACUAUAAACCCAUCAAUAUGAUACUUCAAACCUUCAUAACCCCCGACGAUUCUAAUGCAACAAAGUCAAUGGUCGAAGAGCUGGAAAAAUCAUAUUCAUCGAGCAUUUGCCCGAUUGAAAGUUAUACCUGGGCACGAGAUUAAACCCCGAGCUUAGGAAAAACUCGUUCAAUUCCUUGUAGAUAACAUGGAUUGUUUUUCUUAGUCCCGCCUAGAUAUGACAGGGAUCCCACCGGAGAUCACUACGCAUCGAUUGAGCUUGGACCUAAAGUUCUUCCCAGUAAAAUAAAAGAGAAGGCCCAGUCCGAGGUAAAACAUGCAUUCAUUCAGGACAAGGUAAUAAAACUUCUCAAUAUAGGACUCAUUCGAGAGGUAAAAUAUCUUGAAUGAUUAGCAAAUGUAGUUGUAGUCCCUAAAACGGAAAUAAACUUAAACUUUGUGUAGACUAUAAGGAUUUAAACAAGGAAUGUCCUAGAUAUUCCUUUCCUUUGCCCAGUAUCGAUCACAUAAUCGAUGCCACAACUGGCCAUGAGAUCCUUAGUUUUUUCUAUGCCUACUUCGGGUACAAUCAAAUACAAAUAAACCCGGAGGAUCGGGAAAAGAUUUCAUUCAUCACUAAAUACGACACUUAUUAUUAUAGAAUAAUGUCGUUUGGAUUAAAAAAUGUUGCUGCUACUUAUCAACUCCUAGUAAAUAAAAUAUUCGAGGAACAAAUCGGCAAGUCAAUGGAGGUUAAUAUUGACGAUAUGUUUGUUAAGUCCCUACGAGUAGAGUAAUAUUUGAAACAUUUGCAGGAAACCUUCGACAUACGGAGAGAAUACAACAUGAAGCUCAACCCGCAGCGUUUGGGGUCGAUUCGGGCAAGUUUUUCGGCUUUAUGGUAUCAGAUCGGGGAAUUGAAAUCAACCCCGAUAAAAUCAAGGCAUUCGAAGACAUUACAAUUGUUUAUUAUGUCAAGGUUGUACAGAGGUCAAUAGUAGGGCAGUGCACGGAUUGAAUCGGAUCGAUUUAACAAAUUUCAGAUUUGGAUUUCGGAUUUCGAAUUCUAGAAACUACAAUCUGAAUCCGAUCUGAAUUAAUAUCGGAUCAGAGCACAUUUCAAAUUUUGGAUCAGAUCAUAUCUCGGACCGUAUUAUUAUGCCUCAAAGUUGCAAAUUAAUGUGUAUAAUUUCUUUAUAAAAGAGGCAAUACAUUAGAAAAAAUUAUGUUUAUGCAAUUAUGAGAGUACUAUGGUGCCAAUAUAGCUAAAUCUAGCAAUUGUAAAUGUAAUAACUUUGAGGAAGAUGUGAAGGAAGUAGUGACUAUCCGAAAUUAAAGUGUAGUAUUUAUAAAUUACCUAAUAAUUUCGGAUUUCGAAUCGAAUUAAAAUAUACCAAUCCGAAAUUCAAAAUUUUAAUAAACACAAUUU
rnacentral:lncRNA from 1 species